UGGGGAAUAUUGCACAAUGGGCGCAAGCCUGAUGCAGCCAUGCCGCGUGUGUGAAGAAGGCCUUCGGGUUGUAAAGCACUUUCAGCGGGGAGGAAGGCGAUAAGGUUAAUAACCUUGUCGAUUGACGUUACCCGCAGAAGAAGCACCGGCUAACUCCGUGCCAGCAGCCGCGGUAAUACGGAGGGUGCAAGCGUUAAUCGGAAUUACUGGGCGUAAAGCGCACGCAGGCGGUUUGUUAAGUCAGAUGUGAAAUCCUCGGGCUCAACCUGGGAACUGCAUCUGAUACUGGCAAGCUUGAGUCUCGUAGAGGGGGGUAGAAUUCCAGGUGUAGCGGUGAAAUGCGUAGAGAUCUGGAAGAAUACCGGUGGCGAAGGCGGCCCCCUGGACGAAGACUGACGCUCAGGUGCGAAAGCGUGGGGAGCAAACAGG
rnacentral:rRNA from 1 species